GAUGAACGCUGGCGGCGUGCCUAAUACAUGCAAGUCGAACGCGAGCAGCAAUGCUCGAGUGGCGAACGGGUGAGUAAUACAUAAGUAACCUGCCCUAGACAGGGGGAUAACUGCUGGAAACGGCAGCUAAGACCGCAUAGGUAUGGACACUGCAUGGUGACCAUAUUAAAAGUGCCAAGGCACUGGUAGAGGAUGGACUUAUGGCGCAUUAGCUGGUUGGUGAGGUAACGGCUCACCAAGGCGACGAUGCGUAGCCGACCUGAGAGGGUGACCGGCCACACUGGGACUGAGACACGGCCCAGACUCCUACGGGAGGCAGCAGUAGGGAAUUUUCGGCAAUGGGGGGAACCCUGACCGAGCAACGCCGCGUGAAGGAAGAAGGAAUUCGUUCUGUAAACUUCUGUUAUAAAGGAAGAACGGCGGAUAUAGGGAAUGAUAUCCGAGUGACGGUA
rnacentral:rRNA from 1 species